rnacentral:rRNA from 1 species
UACGGAGGGGGCUAGCGUUGUUCGGAAUCACUGGGCGUAAAGGGAGCGUAGGCGGGUUUUUAAGUCAGGUGUUUAAUCCCGGGGCCCAACCCCGGACCGGCACUUGAAACUGGGUAUCUUGAAUAGGGGAGAGGUCAGUGGAAUUGGAGGUGUAGCGGUGGAAUGCGUAGAGAUCUCCAAGAACACCAGUUGCGAAGGCGGCUGACUGGACCCAUAUUGACGCUGAGGCUCGAAAGCAUGGGGAGCAAACAGG